GCUUAUUGACAUGGAUGGGAGUGUUUGGCCCUCUUAACAGUGAAAAGGAAUCUGCUUUUGACUUAUUAAUGUGCAAGAAGUAAUUAGGCUUUCAAAACUCUUAAUGUAAGCUUUCCAUGAUAAAUGACCUAUAACUCAAUAGGUUCACAUUGUAUGCUAACUUUGGUUAAGUAGUUGUGAGGACAGUACCCGAAAUACGUAAGUGGAGAAUUCCCUAUUUUUAAUUGUUCUGUGUGUGUGAUGACCAGGGUCUCCAAUGGAGACCCUAAAUUAUUUUCUAAAACAUGUUCUAGUUUUUAUAGAUUACACUUUCCUUAAACUUAGAUAACUUGUCCUUUCAUUUCUAACUGGAUAAGUACAAAUCUCAGGUUUAUGUUGACAUAGGCUUUAGUCUGUGCUCACUUUGUAUAUUUACAGUACAAUUUUGAAAUCAAUGUACACACAAUCAUUUUGCUAGGGCCCUAUUUUUGAGUAUUGAGUAGCGUCCUGGAAUUAGGCUAAAGCAAGAAGGAUACACUUCAUAGUAGUUUCCAGAAGCUCCUCCUACAAUUCUAGCAUGUCCAGUUUGUGCUUCUCUGUUGACCAGGUUGUACAGUUCUGUCAGCUGUUUGAAAGGACUGACAACUGGAGAGCAGUAACACAGGAUUAUCUGGGUAUGGAAUUGAUAGAGGUUGUUUUUUCGUCUGUACCAAAAAUUAUAGUGGGAAGUGGAUUACAAAAUAAACAACGUGGUCAUAGUUCCAUGCUGUGUAAUAGAGCAGUACUUUAAAAAAAAAAAAAAAAAAAAAAACCUGGAAAAAAUUACAGUUCUCUUAAAAGGUUCAUGUUGGGGAGAGGCCUAAAACGCAAGCUGAGUGACUAUGAGGAGAACGUGGCUGGUCUCUCAAGUGCCUUUGAUUCCAGUCGAAAUCUGCCCUAUCCACUUAAGAGGCAGUUAGUGCUGAAUAUGUGCCUCACUAAACUACAAACUUACAAAAUGCUGGUGGAACCAAACUUACACCGUUCUGUGCUCAUAGCCAACACAGUAAGGCAAAUUCAGGAGGAAAUGAGACAAGAGAGUAGCCAGCAGCCAAUUAAUGUAUGCAAUGGCAUUGCUCCCAAUCCUCACAGCUACCCAGGAAUUGAUUCAUCUGGAAUUUCUUUACAUCUGCCUUCAGGUAGUAACCAGCAAGAGUCUAACUGUUGUAACUCAUGGUCUGCAGAAGGCCCAAUUGAAAAUAGCCUGCUGAUGGUUUCAGAUGAUGACAUGUCAUCUGCCAUUUCAUCUAUUCUGAAGGAUUUGGACUUCAUGGAAGAUAUAAGUCCACCUACUUCUUUGGUUUCAGCUGGAGAUGAUGAGCCGAAGUCUCCAGAAAACACAUGUCUAAAACUAGAAGAUGAUAGACAAGAUUUGAAGGGAGCAGAAUGUGUAUUUGGUUCCUUUGAAAUUUCGAAUUCAACCAGUUACUUAAAAGAUUUGGCUAUAGAUGACAUCUUUGAAGAUAUUGACACUUCAAUGUAUGAUUCAGACUUCUGCUCUCCCCCACUAAUGACACCUAGACUACCUUCUGCUGCUACAGAAGAAACAUUGAAAACCUUCCCAUCUUGUAAUUCUUCCUCAGCAAACAAUAUUCCAAUAUGUAGAACAGAUCUAAGUGAGUUGGACCAUAUCAUGGAAAUUCUUGUUGGAUCUUGAUAUUUAUUUAUUUUUUUUAACCAAAGAUACUCUUCAUACUGCCACUUAAUAUUGGUUUGAGGAUAAAGCCACUGGCUGGGAAAGCUGCAAGGAAUUUCUUUUAAAACAAAACAAUUGUCCAUGAGUAGUUCUUAAAAUGAAAGAAAUCAGUUAAAAUCAAAAGUGGCAGUUUUUAAAAUGAAAUUAUUUAUUUGACAAAUUGUGCAAUCAUCUUUUUCCUUCUGGGGGUGCAUGUGUGUGUAUUGACAUAAAAACAUGCACGUAUCCUUACCCGCCACCCCUCACCCCUUUUGAAUAAAUGUUUAUGUGCAAUUUUUAAUUUGUCAGAAGAAUUUACGUACAAAGUGAAUUUCAUAUGGGAAUCUCUUAGGAAACCUAGAUUUUAUUUUUAAUAUUAAAAUACAUGCCAAGUUGGCAUACAUUGGAGUUGCAUAUUUUGAUUGUGCAAAUCCAUCAGCAUUACUAGAGAUAUAGGUAUAUUUUAAAAAUAUUAAAACAAAUGUCACUUCCAUUUGGUUGGAAAAGCAGACUCAAGACACUUGUCAGUGAAGUAUCUUGCAUUUUCUAAAGCAUUCAAAACUAUUUAUUUUUGUAAAUUUUAUAGUCUUUCUACAUUUUACUACGUUAUUUCAUCAUAAUACAAAUAUAAUGUAUUUCUAGCUGGAUGUGGCUAGUACUACCUCUAUAAGCCGAAAUGCUUUGACUCUUUCCAGUGCUUUGUCUAAGAUUGCAAGUUGUUUCGUUUUUUCCUUUGUUUCUCAAUAUUUUUCUGGUGGGGGAGACAUUUAAUUCAUUAAUUAGAUCCUUUGUUUGACAGUGAUCUAGCUGAUUUGUGAAAUUAAGAGUAUUAAAUGUUUAAAAUUUCUACAAGUAUUUGCAAAUGUAAUUUAUGUAUAUUGUCCAAUUUAAUAUUGUCAGUAUUAUGUGCUUAGAUUUUAAAUCUUGGCAUUCUUUAAAUUAGCAUUUACUGUACAGAUAGCUUUUUUGUUCUGUUUGGAGAAUGCCAUAUGUCUUCAGUCCUGUUUUCACUACAAAGCUUUUUUUAAUGUGCAAUAAUACUUACAGAUACAUAUUUGCACAGAUGACACAGAAAGAAAUGCUUUAAAUUUAAAUUUGUAAAGUAGCACCUUGGGAAAGGUACCUGAAGAGCCAGUGUCUCUAUAUCCUUUUAAAAAAUGAGUUGAGCAUUUCUUAUAGUACUAACAUUUACUGUUUUUGAAUACUCCUGAAAUGUUCUUGUAAAUAUGGUGGGUCGUUGCUGAUGACUAAGUACUGUCUUGUGAAAGCUUGGGGGUCAGCUCGCUCCGAUGCAGUUGCAGGACUGGGGCCUAAGUGUGCUGAAAGAAUUUCUGUUUCAGAUAUGCAACAGAAGGGUUUGGUGGGUUUUUUUAAAUUAUUAAUUGAAGAUGUGGUUUGUAGUGAGAACUGUUGCUCCAUGUGAUAGUGGGAAAUAAUUUUUCCCUCAGAGUGGGGUCUUUAACUUCUGGAGUUGCUUUCUAAACUACCCGAUGCUCGUUUUCCCUUGAAACUGUAAACUGUUUCAGUAUAGCUGUUAAUGCUGCAGUACAUUUAGGACAAAAAAGUUUGUAGAGAGCUUUAAAAGCUUCUAUAGUUCAUCUCUGUGUCACCAUUUCCCAUGUAAUUCCCUUUUUCUGCCAGUAGCAGAAGUUUAGCUGCCAUAAUGUCUCCAUUUUGGAUAAAGAUAAUUUUUGCUCAUUUUUUUAAAUAUGAACUUGCUCAUGUUCACUUCAAUGUCUUUUGCUCAGAGCACUGCUUAGUUCUCCCCAACACCACUCAGUGUUUUUAAAAAGUGUUCGCUUUUGUUCCAUUUGUUCAAUUUUUUUUGUGGGUGCAGUAUCUGAAAAGAAUAUGAAGAGCAAGAAAAUGUGCCCUAAGUGUUGCAUCUCAAAAACAAGGGGUGAAGUCCUGGUCUUGCAGAACAAUGGGAGUUUUGCCAUUAACUUCAGAUGGGCCAGUAUUUCACCUGGGAUUUUUAGUCUUAAAUACGCUGCAGCGUCAGUUAUCCUAUGCUAAGAUCUCCAUUUCAGACCAUGUGAGCUCCUCAGUUAAUAGUCUGUCCCUCAAAACUGUGCAAACCCAGUUUAGGUCACCUUCUUUCAGCCAUCUGGAUUGACAAUUGAAGGGUAUAAAUAUAUGCGCUCAAUGUUAAUGGUUCUAAUAAUCUAGAAAUUCUGAUGUUCUAAAACAUUCUAAAUCAUUGGAUAAGGGAUUAGUUUGAAAAAUGUAUAAAUAGCUACUGAGAAGGUACAGCUUCAGAAUGUAUACAGACUCUAUUUUGUAUAGACUAUUCUGGCUUUUCCUCAAUCUCUACUUUUGUAUGUAAAGAUAUGCCUCAAUAAAUCCUUGAAAUAUUCCGCAUUGUGAUGAAGCAUAAUUGUAGUUUAAAGAUAUAUUUAAUUUUGGUCACAGAAAUAAAAAUUGUAUCUAAUUUC